rnacentral:rRNA from 1 species
AUGCCAUUUAUUCUGAUGACACAUCGCCUUACGUCUAUCUGUCACUGCUYUUAUUGAUUACAGGGCUGCCGUAAUUUGACUGUACAAAGGUAUCAUAAUCAUCAGGCUUUUAAUUGGAGACUUGUAUGAAAGAUUUGAUGAAAUAUAAACUGUCUCCAAUUUAUUAUUAUCAGAAUUUAAUUUUUUAGUUAAAAAGCUAAAAUAAAUUUAAAAGACGAGAAGACCCUAUAAAGUUUAAUAGUUUUUAAUUUAAAAUAUUUAUAUAAGAUUUUAAUAUUUAAUUUUAUAAAUUAUUUGGCUGGGGUGAUAAAAAAGUAAAAAAAACUUUUUUUUUAAAUUUACAAACAUCAGUGAAUCAGUGACCCAUUUUAAUGAUUAUAAGAAAAAAUUACCUUAGGGAUAACAGCGUAAAUUGGCUCUGUAAAUGUGUCUAAAUGUAACUAAGUGCUCAAUACUUACUACCAGGUAAAAACCACACUAUGUUUUUUGAUAAACAGGCG